rnacentral:lncRNA from 1 species
GGCUUAGUUUGGUAUUGAGACCUAUCUAACGCUAUUAGAUAAAAUGGAGUUGAGGAAAAAUCAUAUAGUGUUAUACUUCUGUAUGCUCUGAUGGGACCGCAGCCGGAGAAUCGCAGAUGGGACCGCAGCCGGAGAAUCGCAGAAAAUAUAUCGUAACCGACUCAUCGCGCGAUAUGCGGAACGUAAUAUUACGUAAGGAAAAUAAACCGAAUAUUUUUUCAACAUACUUUCUCAUCGUACGUAACGCAAUCUCUCCGCAAUUCCAUACGAACCCUAAAUUUUUUACAGAAACAAUAUAUAUUAAAAUUUAAACAUUGAGGAUAUACUUGUCAUUUAUUAUAUCUGCAGUAACCUCCGUAAAACUAACC